UAUCAAUAAGCGGAGGAAAAGAAACCAACAGGGAUUGCCCCAGUAACGGCGAGUGAAGCGGCAACAGCUCAAAUUUGAAAUCUGGCCCCCGGGUCCGAGUUGUAAUUUGUAGAGGAUGCUUUUGGCGAGGUGCCUUCCGAGUUCCCUGGAACGGGACGCCAUAGAGGGUGAGAGCCCCGUCUGGUCGGACACCGAGCCUCUGUAAAGCUCCUUCGACGAGUCGAGUAGUUUGGGAAUGCUGCUCAAAAUGGGAGGUAUAUGUCUUCUAAAGCUAAAUAUUGGCCAGAGACCGAUAGCGCACAAGUAGAGUGAUCGAAAGAUGAAAAGCACUUUGAAAAGAGGGUUAAAAAGUACGUGAAAUUGUUGAAAGGGAAGCGCCUAUGACCAGACUUGGGCCCGGUGAAUCACCCAGCGUUCUCGCUGGUGCACUUCGCCGGGCACAGGCCAGCAUCAGUUUGGCGCGGGGGAGAAAGGUUUCGGGAAUGUGGCUCCCCCGGGAGUGUUAUAGCCCGUUGCGCAAUACCCUGCGCUGGACUGAGGUACGCGCAUUCGCAAGGAUGCUGGCGUAAUGGUCAUCAGCGACCCGUCUUGAAACACGGACCAAGGAGUCGUCUUCGUAUGCGAGUGUUCGGGUGUCAAACCCCUACGCGUAAUGAAAGUGAACGCAGGUGAGAGCUUCGGCGCAUCAUCGACCGAUCCUGAUGUUCUCGGAUGGAUUUGAGUAAGAGCAUACGGGGCCGGACCCGAAAGAAGGUGAACUAUGCCUGUAUAGGGUGAAGCCAGAGGAAACUCUGGUGGAGGCUCGCAGCGGUUCUGACGUGCGAAUCGAUCGUCAAAUAUGGGCAUGGGGGCGAAAGACUAAUCGAACCUUCUAGUAGCUGGUUUC
rnacentral:rRNA from 1 species